rnacentral:pre_miRNA from 1 species
UUUAAGUGCAGUUGUGGAUCUCCGUGUCCAGCGUUUGACCGCCCGUCUUAUUUGAAAAAUUUAUGAAAAAAAUUAAAAAAAUAAGUUACGCGUAAAAUACUAUUAAUGUUUUAUUAUCUAAUAAUAAUAAAAGUAAUGAUAAAAUAAUUUAAAUAAAACGGACGGUCAAACGUUGGACAUGGAAACCCAUAACUACAUUUAAA